rnacentral:rRNA from 1 species
CUACGGGUGGCAGCAGUGGGGGAUAUUGCACAAUGGGCGAAAGCCUGAUGCAGCAACGCCGCGUGAAGGAAGACGGAUUUCGGUCUGUAAACUUCUAUCAGCUGGGAAGAAAAUGACGGUACCAGACUAAGAAGCCCCGGCUAACUACGUGCCAGCAGCCGCGGUAAUACGUAGGGGGCAAGCGUUAUCCGGAUUUACUGGGUGUAAAGGGUACGUAGGCGGUCGCUUAAGUCAGAUGUGAAAGCCCGAAGCUCAACUUCGGGACUGCAUUUGAAACUGGGUGACUAGAGUACAGGAGAGGAAAGCGGAAUUCCUAGUGUAGCGGUGAAAUGCGUAGAUAUUAGGAAGAACACCAGUGGCGAAGGCGGCUUUCUGGACUGUAACUGACGCUGAGGUACGAAAGCGUGGGGAGCGAACAGGAUUAGAUACCCGGGUAGUC